rnacentral:rRNA from 1 species
CACUUGUUCUUUAAAUGGGGACUUGUAUCAACGGCACCACGAGGGUUAGACUGUCUCCUUUUUCAAAUCAGUGAAAUUAAUCUCCCCGUGAAGAAGCGGGGAUACUCAUAUAAGACGAGAAGACCCCAUGGAGCUUCAAACCCAACUACACCCCUAGCUCUUAUAGCCCCACAACCCCCCCCCCC